GUGUGGGGUGGCCUCGGUCCCUUUUGGGGUCCCCUCCGUUCCUCGGGGUCCCCUUUGGGGGGUCCCCAGUCUGCUGGUCGGGGGGACUCUGGGUUUUGGGGUGUCCCACGUCCUCUGGAGCAGUUCCAUGUCCCGUUUGGGGUGUCCCCUGUCCCUUUGGAGUGUCCCCUGUCCAUUUGGGGUGUCUCCGGUCCCUUUCAGGUGUCCCCUGUCCCUUUGGGGUGUCCCCGGUCCCUUUGGAGUGUCCACUGUCCCUUUGGGGUGUCUCCGGUCCCUUUUGGGGUGUCCCCGGUCCCUUUGGGGUGUCCCCCUGUCCCUUGGGGACACUCCCACAUCCCCUGUCCCCUCGAUGUCCCCAAGGACCCCGCUCCGGUGCUGGCCCUGUCCCUCCCGGUGGUUUUGGGGUCCCCAAAGUCCCCAAAGUCCCCACAGUGGGGCCAGCUCGGGGCACGGGGCCCCUCGGCUGGGGACAGGGGGGACACGGGGACAGGGACAGAGGGGACAGUGGGGACACUUUGCCACGAGGGUGCUGGACAGGCAGAAGGUGACACAGGGGGGGACAGGGGGUGACAACCCCAGCACGGGGAGGUGACAGAGGAGGGGCAUUGGGGAAUGCAGGGGUGGGGUGACACUGGUGACAUCAGGUCUGGGGACAUUGGUGUCCUCAGGGUGUCCCCAGGGUGGGGACACUGUGUUGGUGUCCUCGGCCCUCCAGGGGGACAUUGCUGUCCCCAGCGCAGGGGGCUCUGGUGGCACUUGGGUGUCCCCAUCGAUGGGGUGUCCCCAGGCACAGGGAGGUGACCAGGAUGUCCCCAGGGGUGUGACAGUGUCCCCAGGGGUGUGACAGUGUCCCCAGGGGUGUGACAGUGUCCCCUGUCCCCAGGGGUGUGACAGGCUGUCCCAGGUGUGACAAUGUCCCUGUACCCCAGGUGUCCCCCAGGUGUCACACAGGUGUCCCUGUCCCCAGGUGCUGCAGCCAGAGCUGGGACCUUCCCCUUCCUCAGACACACCUCUGGUGGCCCUCCAAGGUCCUGCUGAGCUUCGAGGACCUGCCAGGACCUGAGCCCAGAGCAGCGGGGGGGCACCCGAGAGGCACAGCUGGACCCAAAACUGCACAGCUGGACGCCCAAAUGCACAGCUGGACCCAAAACUGCACAGCUGGACGCCAAAAUGCACAGCUGGACCCCCAAAAUCCUAUAAAGCCCCCCAUAAAGCCCUGAACCCCCAAAACUGGAGAUACCCAAAGUACACCUGGACCCCAGGGGGUUUGGGGGGGCCCCAGGGCUGGGAGCCCCGGUUUUGGGGUGUCCCAGGGCGGUGAUGCUGGAUUUUUGGGGUUUUGGGGUGUCCCAGGGCGGUGACUCCCUGUUUUAACCCCCCCAGGUGGAAGCGCCCCCCCUUGUCCCCAAUGGGGGUCCCCAAACCGGGGGGUUCCCCAAAAGCCUGUGGAGGGGGGGCCCAGCUCCCCAAGGCUUCGUCCUAAACGAGUUUGGACGAAUCAAUAAAGUUUGGGAUAAAAAUCGG